rnacentral:tRNA from 1 species
UGCUCGGUAGCUCAGUGGUAGAGCGGUCGGCUGUUAACCGAUUGGUCGCAGGUUCGAGCCCUGCCCGAGCAGCCA